GCCCAAGCGACUGUUUAUCAAAAACACAGGUCUCUGCAAAAUCGUAAGAUGAAGUAUAGGGGCUGACGCCUGCCCGGUGCUGGAAGGUUAAGAGGAUGGGUUAGCUUCGGCGAAGCUCAGAAUUGAAGCCCCAGUAAACGGCGGCCGUAACUAUAACGGUCCUAAGGUAGCGAAAUUCCUUGUCGGGUAAGUUCCGACCCGCACGAAAGGCGUAACGAUUUGGGCACUGUCUCAACGAGAGACUCGGUGAAAUUUUAGUACCUGUGAAGAUGCAGGUUACCCGCGACAGGACGGAAAGACCCCAUGGAGCUUUACUGUAGUUUGAUAUUGAGUGUUUGUACCACAUGUACAGGAUAGGUAGGAGCCGAUGAG
rnacentral:rRNA from 1 species